rnacentral:rRNA from 1 species
GACGAACGCUGGCGGCGUGCCUAAUACAUGCAAGUAGAACGCUGAAGGAGGAGCUUGCUUCUCUGGAUGAGUUGCGAACGGGUGAGUAACGCGUAGGUAACCUGCCUGGUAGCGGGGGAUAACUAUUGGAAACGAUAGCUAAUACCGCAUAACAGUAGAUAUCGCAUGAUAUCUACUUGAAAGGUGCAAUUGCAUCACUACCAGAUGGACCUGCGUUGUAUUAGCUAGUUGGUGAGGUAACGGCUCACCAAGGCGACGAUACAUAGCCGACCUGAGAGGGUGAUCGGCCACACUGGGACUGAGACACGGCCCAGACUCCUACGGGAGGCAGCAGUAGGGAAUCUUCGGCAAUGGACGGAAGUCUGACCGAGCAACGCCGCGUGAGUGAAGAAGGUUUUCGGAUCGUAAAGCUCUGUUGUAAGAGAAGAACGAGUGUGAGAGUGGAAAGUUCACACUGUGACGGUAUCUUACCAGAAAGGGACGGCUAACUACGU